AAAGCGCGAUAGGUAAUGCGAAUUGCAGAAUUCAGUGAAUCAUCAAAUCUUUGAACGCAUCUUGCACUUUUCGGUAUCCCGGAAAGUACAUUUCAUCGAGUGUCGUCACAACCCCAAUAUGGCUGCGUGCUGAAAAUGAGAUGUCUUACAUAUAAACAUGGAAGACUCUUCAAAUCAGACGUGAACGUCAUUCAGCAGUCUUAUGUGCGGCUGAUGUUGAUAAUUGACUUCGGUCAAAAUUCACAUUGGCUGAGAGCAUGCAUUGCUGUAUGUAUGUUCAUGAACAAGGAACAUCUUCGACAAGAUGCCAACUUAAUCAUGACCUCGAGUGAAGUGAGAGAACCCGCCGAAUUUAA
rnacentral:misc_RNA from 1 species